ensembl:lncRNA
GUGGUCUGAUGUUCUACUUCCUUAUUCACCCAUUGUGAGAGUCUCAUUCUGUAUCUUCUCUCACACUCGCUGUUAUGGAGUUGUUCAUCCUCAUAGUUUUUCUGCUCCUGAUGGAGGUUCAGUCUCACCAAUGAAACAAACAAGGGUAAAUAACAAAGGAACACUGAUCAAGACCAGAAAUCUAAGACAGGAGCAUCAACAGGGAAACAUGAGGGGAACAAGGUCACAAACAAGACAGAGCUACAAACUAAGAGUCCA